AACGAACGCUGGCGGCAGGCUUAACACAUGCAAGUCGAACGAGAAGCCUGGCUUCGGUCAGGUGGAAAGUGGCAGACGGGUGAGUAACGCGUGGGAACGUGCCCUUUGGUUCGGAACAACUCCGGGAAACUGGAGCUAAUACCGGAUGUGCCCUUCGGGGGAAAGAUUUAUCGCCAAGGGAUCGGCCCGCGUCGGAUUAGCUUGUUGGUGGGGUAACGGCCUACCAAGGCUAUGAUCCGUAGCUGGUCUGAGAGGAUGAUCAGCCACACUGGUACUGAGAUACGGACCAGACUCCUACGGGAGGCAGCAGUAGGGAAUAUUGGGCAAUGGGUGAGAGCCUGACCCAGCCAUGCCGCGUGCAGGAAGAAGGCGUUCUGCGUUGUAAACUGCUUUUGAUCGGGAAGAAAGGGUUCCUGCGGGGACCGUUGACUGUACCGAUAGAAUAAGCACCGGCUAACUCCGUGCCAGCAGCCGCGGUAAUACGGAGGGUGCAAGCGUUGUCCGGAUUUAUUGGGUUUAAAGGGUGCGUAGGCGGAUUGAUAAGUCAGUGGUGAAAGGCAGCGGCUCAACCGUUGAGUUGCCAUUGAUACUGUGAGUCUUGAGUGCACUAGAGGCAAGUGGAAUUUAUGGUGUAGCGGUGAAAUGCAUAGAUACCAUAAAGAACACCAUAGCGAAGGCGC
rnacentral:rRNA from 1 species